rnacentral:tRNA from 1 species
GUAUCGGUGGUUCAGUGGUAGAAUGCUCGCUUGCCACGCGGCCUCCAGGAUUCGAUUCCCGGCCGAUGCA